CCGCCGCCCUGACGGAGGACGCGUGUUUCCCAUCGCGUGCUGCAGGCGCCAUGCCCGGAUUCCACACCGUCACUCCGAGCGCCGCCGAGAUCUACGGUUGAUAGAACCAGCGUCGCAAACGCCCGUCCCUCUGUACAUUGAGAACGCUGGCCCCACGAUCGAUCCACCAAUUCAGCGCACAGGUCGUUGAGGACGCUGGCCGCCGAUUCGUUCGCCGCCGGACUCGUCGGUCGUCGCGUCUCAGGCGGCAGAGGCACGCAGGUCUCGAUAUCUUCUCUUGGAUAAGAUGUCUGGAUCUUCGUACUCUCGUUGUGCUGACAAUCUCCACCUGUCUAGCUCAAGGUUCUAUAUAGCAAGAUAGCAGUUAAAUAAAUCUGAGCUUGUUCCUAGAAAGCCAACUCCACUGAAGUCUCCCGUAUCUUUCCAACUGAUGUAGGCCGCUGAGUCAAAGUCAAAUGCUCAAUGUAACGGCUAAUUAGCGUUGAGAAACACCUAUGUGUUGCUGCACCCGUAAUAUUACAUAUACAAGGUUCAAUUCAGUCCAGGUUGUAUCUAUUCUUUUAUGUCCGUCUUUGUCAUAAGUACAUGAGGUUUUGGGUUCUUGGCCACCCAUAUGUAUUAUCUUAGUUCUCUGCAUGCUGAAUAUAGACAAACGUGGUACUAUCUUAUAUAUAUUUGCACACUAAGUAUAGCCAAAAGGGGUGCCUACCUUGUAGUGUUGGCCUUCCAAUUGAUACAUGCCUACAGGAUAACUCAUGCUAUUUUUGGUUGGUUUGUUUUACGGAUUCUUCAUAGCUAUAGUAUGUGGACCGAGCAUCACUCAACAACACUGCAUGUUCUUUGAAAACAACACUUCGCCCUGCUCAAUAUACCAUUCAUAGGAUAGUAUCAUUGUCAAUAAAUGGUUAUUGGUGAUGUUGUAACUCAUGAUUUUCCAGUGUAACUAAAUGGUUAUUGAUGAUGUUGUAACUCAUGAUUUUCCUAUGUAAUACAUGCAGCUUUCAAUCUCAAGCCCAUCUAGCAUUUUGCAUCGAGAUCCUGGUGUACACGUUGGACUACGAGGAAAGGAUGCUAUCACAUUUCACAAGAAGAGCGUCCCGUACGGGAUUUGUGUGUUUUAGCAUGAAUUCAACAAGGAGGGAAUGUUUCUUGAUCUAUUUGUUGUGCUCUGUUGUGAUCCCCGCCAUUGUCUUCCAGAACCUUCAGGCGCAACUAGAGAGCAGCUUGCCCAUUGCCA